rnacentral:tRNA from 1 species
UUUCCAAAAAAUUGGACUUAUUUCAAGAAUUUCCUUCCGAAAAAUAUUUUAAAAAUUUCUACUUU